AUGCAAGAUGUACAGAGUACAAUUUUCAUGGCAAUCAGCAAUGAUUAACCAUAAGCUUGAAUAAAACACUCUUAUUAGAGUUAAGUAAGAACAAACUUGCCUGAACCGUUGAUUACCGCAACGCAAUUUAUAUCGCUUUACCCGAAGACCUAAUAUUAAUAAUAUAGAUCUCCAAUAUUAGAAUCACAGUAUAAUUCUGUUAUAUUUAAAUACAAAGAAUAACCUAAACACAUAACACAUAACCCUAUAAGUCUAUACAGUACAUAAGACUUAAUAUCAGGUCAAAC
rnacentral:lncRNA from 1 species